GACGAACGCUGGCGGCGUGCUUAACACAUGCAAGUCGUACGGUAAGGCCCUUUCGGGGGUACACGAGUGUCGAACGGGUGAGUAACACGUGAGUAACCUGCCCACAACUUUGGGAUAACGCUAGGAAACUGGUGCUAAUACUGGAUAUGUGCUCCUGCUGCAUGGGGGGGGUUGGAAAGCUCCGGCGGUUGUGGAUGGACUGGCGGCGUAUCAGCUUGCUGGUGGGGUAGGGUCCUACCAAGGCGGCUGCGGGUAGCCGGCCUGAGAGGGUGACCGGCCACACUGGGACUGAGAGACGGCCGAGACUCCGACGGGAGGCAGCAGUGGGGAAGAUUGCACGAGGGGCGCAAGCCGGAUGCAGCAACGCCGCGGGCGGGAUGACGGCCUUAGGGUUGUAAACCGCUUUCAGCAGGGACGAAGCUUUUUGUGACGGUACCUGCAGAAGAAGCACCGGCUAACUACGUG
rnacentral:rRNA from 1 species